UGUAUUCGUCAGGACAGCUGAGCCUUAAUGUAGAACAUGGAAGAUCUGCUAUAUCCAACUACUACGAAAAUAAAAAGACUCAAGUGUUUUUUGUCAAGUAGGCAUUUUCUGCUUCAAAAUACUACUUAAGCUCAAGUUCCUGUUUCCUAUCUGAAGAGUGGCUAAAAAUAAUGUGAUGUCCAAGGCAUAUUAAGGCAAAUGUAAGCAUACUGUGCCAGCAUAAUUUACACUUAAGCUUACAACACACCCCUGUAUGUGUAUUUGUCAGUGUUUACGUAGAUAAAUGUGCAUGUAUGUACAAACAUGCACCAGUCUCUCCAAAGCCUGCUGUGAACUGUGUGUUUAAGUAAUGCACACUAAAUUGAUGCUCAGAACUGUGUGUCUUCUCAGACUGAUCAAAGAUCAGAAAGAGACUUGUUUCAAGAAAUGAAGUGCUUUGAAGUGCCCAUGCAAGCUCAAUGCGUAGCUUAUGAUAUAAACAUUCUUUUAAGGGCUAUAAGCAUAUAGGAAUGGUGUAUAACUAUGGAAUACUGUUGUUGACUUCAUAUUUAUUACUGUAGUAUUGACGUCUCACUCCACAAUUACGUGACUCAAUCUUAAUAAGAAAUGACCUUGCAUUGAAGAAAACCAUAUUUACAGGAAGUAAUAAUUUGGUUUCUUCUUUCUAUGUCAACAGAACGGAGACUGCAGUAGAAGAGAGAAAUUACUUAGGGAAGUAGAAAAUUCCUACUAACACAGUAUUUGAGAUUGACCUGUCCAUCUUUUAACAGAUCUUAUGAUCUCUCUUCAGGUAUUUUUAUUUACUGAUCAAAGUUGAUGACUCUGAGAUUUGAAAGGUGGAGCAACCUAUGGGCUCAAUGGCACAAGGCUGUGAAUUACUGGCUGGAAUAACAUAAGCUGUGUUUGCUGGAAGAUGGACUCCAAAGGUGACAUUGGUUGGAAAAUCUGCCUCUCUCAUGCUACCUGGAAUACUACCUGGAAUAUGUUUCCAUUACUGCAUAGGGUCCUGACUUGUGGAAAAGCAGUCCUUCAGAAAGAAUGCUCGUUCUUACAUUCUUGCCAAGUGGUUUCUGUUCUGGAUGCUCUGAGAUCUCUUGUUCACCCACAACUGGACACCAAGACAGGCAGCUUAUGUGUUCGAUGCUUUAGGUAAGUGCCCAUAAAGCCAGUCAGAAACAAAUGGAUCUAUGU
rnacentral:lncRNA from 1 species